rnacentral:rRNA from 1 species
UACGAAGGGGGCUAGCGUUGUUCGGAAUUACUGGGCGUAAAGGGCGCGUAGGCGGCCUUCUAAGUCGAACGUGAAAUCCCCGGGCUCAACCCGGGAACUGCGUCCGAUACUGGAAGGCUUGAAUCCGGGAGAGGGAUGCGGAAUUCCAGGUGUAGCGGUGAAAUGACGUAGAUAUCUGGAGGAACACCGGUGGCGAAGGCGGCAUCCUGGACCGGCAUUGACGCUGAGGCGCGAAAGCCAGGGGAGCAAACGGG